rnacentral:rRNA from 1 species
AGCGAACGCUGGCGGCAGGCCUAACACAUGCAAGUCGAACGGAACCUCCGGGGUUAGUGGCGGUCGGGGGAGUACCACGGGGGAACGUGCCUUUAGGUACGGAAUAGCUCCUGGUAACGGGUGGUAAUGCAGCAUGUGCCCUUCGCGGGUAAGAUUUCUCGCUUUUUGAGCGGCCCGCGUCUGUUUCGCGAGUGGGUGAGGUAACGGCUGACCAUGGGGUCGAUCAGUAGCUGGUCUGAGAGGAGGACCAGCCACACUGGGCAUAAGGCACGGCCCAGACUCAUACGGGAGGGAGCAGUGGGGAAUCCAGCGCAAGGGGGGAAGGCCUGACGCAGCCAUGCCGCGGGAAUGAUGAAGGUGGUAGGAUAGUAAAAUUCUUUCAGCGGAGGCGAUAAUGACGGUACCCGGAGAAGAAGCCCCGGCUAACUUCGUG